UCAAAACACUAUAUCAGCUAAAACAGCUCAACACAGUUUAAACAUACAGCCAAGUAAUGAAUGGUAGAAAGAAACAGCUAAAA